CCUACGGGGGGCUGCAGUGGGGAAUAUUGGACAAUGGGGGGAACCCUGAUCCAGCCAUGCCGCGUGUGUGAAGAAGGCCCUCGGGUUGUAAAGCACUUUCAGUGAGGAAGAAAGCCUGGUGGUUAAUACCCAUCAGGAAAGACAUCACUCACAGAAGAAGCACCGGCUAACUCCGUGCCAGCAGCCGCGGUAAUACGGAGGGUGCGAGCGUUAAUCGGAAUUACUGGGCGUAAAGCGCGCGUAGGUGGCUUGAUAAGCCGGUUGUGAAAGCCCCGGGCUCAACCUGGGAACGGCAUCCGGAACUGUCAAGCUAGAGUGCAGGAGAGGAAGGUAGAAUUCCCGGUGUAGCGGUGAAAUGCGUAGAGAUCGGGAGGAAUACCAGUGGCGAAGGCGGCCUUCUGGACUGACACUGACACUGAGGUGCGAAAGCGUGGGUAGCAAACAGGAUUAGAUACCCUGGUAGUC
rnacentral:rRNA from 1 species